rnacentral:rRNA from 1 species
AUUGAACGCUGGCGGCAGGCCUAACACAUGCAAGUCGAACGGUAACAGGAAGAAGCUUGCUUCUUUGCUGACGAGUGGCGGACGGGUGAGUAAUGUCUGGGAAACUGCCUGAUGGAGGGGGAUAACUACUGGAAACGGUAGCUAAUACCGCAUAACGUCGCAAGACCAAAGAGGGGGACCUUCGGGCCUCUUGCCAUCGGAUGUGCCCAGAUGGGAUUAGCUAGUAGGUGGGGUAACGGCUCACCUAGGCGACGAUCCCUAGCUGGUCUGAGAGGAUGACAAGCCACACUGGAACAGAGACACGGUCCAGACUCCUACGGGAGGCAGCAGUGGAGAAUAUUGCACAAUGGGCGGAAGCCUGAUGCAGCCAUGCCGCGUGUAUGCAGAAGACCUUCGAGUUGUAAAGUACUUUCAGCGGGGAGGAAGGGAGUAAAGUUAAUACCUUUGCUCAUAGACGUUACCCGCAGAAGAAGCACCGGCUAACUCCGUG